CUGCUCGCUUGGGCAGCACAUAUACUAAAAUUGGAACAAUACAGAGAAGAUUAGCACGGCCCUUGCACAAGGAUGACACACAAAUUUGUGAAGUGUUCCAUAAAAGA
rnacentral:snRNA from 1 species